UUAAUCCUGAAAUGAGCGGAUAAACCUAUUAUUUUGAACCUACAUCAGACAUAAGGGAGUCCGGUGUUUGGCAGUAGAUAUCAGGCCCCAACCUAAUUCCGACACUUGUCGCUUGAACGGGUGCAACGGCGGGGGAAGGUUGAAGCGUCCAGCAGGACACCCACCUAGCGUAGGGCUAGGUGUCAAAAUAUAGGGAAACGCCAUUUUGGGUUUUAA
rnacentral:other from 1 species